GGUACAGGUCACGUUUAAAAUGCCAAGUCAGUAGUGUAGACUGAAAAUGCUUUAAAGUUGAGAGGACAGAACAUUAUCUGUGAGCAGAGGUGACUUGUGGAAGGAUGAUCUGGUUAUCAAGGAAGGAACUGGGGAAGCGAGGAUGGCACCGUGGCUGCCCUGGGGAGAAGAGGAGAGUGAAUCAAGAAGCAGAAGUGACACUAAACCAGCUUCAAUUCUCUUCUUCAAUCUGCGUGGAGAUUCACUCAUCCUCUUUGUAAUCUAAGCUCUCCAGUCGUAAGUCAAAUGAUUUUCCAUCACUCUGGCCUUUGGGAACUAAGGUGCCAGAUUCUCUGAGAGAGCAUUGUCCUGAUAAAGGAAAAACAUGAAGGCACUGGAUGUUUUAACUGUGGAACAUAAGAGAGAACAGAGAAACCCAACAAAUGGAGUUGUUGGUGCAGAUUUCCACAGAUGAAGUUGUCUGGGUGCAGCCAAUGCUUUCAGUCAAGAAACAAGGUGGAAUGUGAAUUUGUAGAAAUUGCAGGUUUACUAAGAUUUAGGUGGCAAGUUUGUGAAAAAGAGUUCUGGAAAAGCAAGAAAAAAAUUUCUAUUCAAAUUCUCAUGUCUACUGGGGUAAUGGAGGCAUCGAGCAUUUUAUUUUCCAUCUCUAUUAACACAACUCAAAACAUCUAUACUUUAUUGUUGUUGCUUUUUUGUUCUCUGAAACAUCUUAAUGAGAGGCCAGCAGUGAGUUCAAGUUUUUCAAUGCCAAGUUGAGAAUGCCACACCUCACAUAACAAUUUCCCUUGGAAAUUAAGAACAAUCCAAGUUUUUCAAAACCCCAAAGUAUCUUUUUUAUUCUUUGAAACUCCAUGCUUUACCACAGUGCAAGUCUCAUUAGGUUUUUAAUAAAAUAUUUGUCAGUUGUUUUCUAAUCAAGAAGAUUCUGUUCUUUUCACAUCAAGGAAUCACUUAGGAGACAAACAACAACAUAUAAUAAUUAGAUUUGAUUGAAUAUAAUUGACUUGAAUGUUAAUGAAACAGUGCCUCCAAUAUGUUUUAUUUCACUUCAAUUUUGAUGACACUUAAGCAGUUGUCUUGCUUCCCCCAACCUGCCACCACUAUUUCUCCCUGCCAUCGCAUUUGACAUUGUUCCUGUGCUUAUCAACAUUGUUUGUCUGAAAGCCUUUUAAUCAGCUGUGGGUGAAGUUGCAGAGGAGCUCUCAGCUCUUCCAGCUCUCACCUCCCAUGUUAGU